UAAAACAACUAUACAACAAAAUAAAACUGCUUAUAAAUAUAUAAUAGUUACUUCAAUAAUACAAAACGUUCUUCUACGUGGUUUACUAUGCAUAUAGUAUAAAUAUUUAUAUAAAGGUAGAUAUGACGACAGUCGUUAAAACUGCGUUUGUACUGCGAUAUGUUUGACGACGGUCGCGAAAACUGCCAACAGUCGUCAAAACUGCCUAGUUAUACUUGAGAACGUUGUCAAAACUGCCUUUGGAUAAAUAUAUAUUAUAUUAUAUUAUAUGUAUACAUAUAUGUAUACUCUGCACAUAUGACAGGAAGCUUAAUUUUACAUAUAUCAUUAAUUUAAUAUCUUAUUAGAGAUAUUUAGUUCUAAACAUAUUUAAAAGUUUACGAGAUUUUGGUCUUUUCUUCAUUUCGCAAUAGCAUUGGUGCAUCCGUUACCCUAGGAAUAAUGCAAUGUUAAAUCUAUGCAUGCGUAUAUUUACCAGUGCUGAAUAUGACUAGAGUGUAACUAGAGUAUGAUAUAAUAUUUUUAAAUAUCAUGUCUCCUUACCUUUUUGUCCUUUCAAUCUAAGGAAAGACUGAAGUGUGACGAUGACAAUUAUACUGAUAAGUUUGCUGUAGAAACAAGGUUUAAAUGUCACAUUCUCUAUUAA